rnacentral:rRNA from 1 species
AUUGAACGCUGGCGGCAGGCCUAACACAUGCAAGUCGAGCGGAUGAAGGGAGCUUGCUCCUGGAUUCAGCGGCGGACGGGUGAGUAAUGCCUAGGAAUCUGCCUGGUAGUGGGGGAUAACGUCCGGAAACGGGCGCUAAUACCGCAUACGUCCAGAGGGAGAAAGUGGGGGAUCUUCGGACCUCACGCUAUCAGAUGAGCCUAGGUCGGAUUAGCUAGUUGGUGGGGUAAAGGCCUACCAAGGCGACGAUCCGUAGCUGGUCUGAGAGGAUGAUCAGUCACACUGGAACUGAGACACGGUCCAGACUCCUACGGGAGGCAGCAGUGGGGAAUAUUGGACAAUGGGCGAAAGCCUGAUCCAGCCAUGCCGCGUGUGUGAAGAAGGUCUUCGGAUUGUAAAGCACUUUAAGUUGGGAGGAAGGGCAGUAAGUUAAUACCUUGCUGUUUUGACGUUACCAACAGAAUAAGCACCGGCUAACUUCGUG